rnacentral:rRNA from 1 species
UACGUAGGGCGCAAGCGUUGUCCGGAAUUAUUGGGCGUAAAGAGCGUGUAGGCGGCCAGGUAGGUCCGUUGUGAAAACUGGAGGCUUAACCUCCAGCUGUCGAUGGAAACCAUCUGGCUAGAGUCCGGAAGAGGAGAGUGGAAUUCCUGGUGUAGCGGUGAAAUGCGCAGAUAUCAGGAAGAACACCCGUGGCGAAGGCGGCUCUCUGGGACGGUACUGACGCUGAGACGCGAAAGCGUGGGGAGCGAACAGG